rnacentral:rRNA from 1 species
AGUCACUGACAUUAGAUACCCGCGUAGUCCCAGCCGUAAACAAUGUGCGUUAGGUGUGUCGGUAACCACGCGUUACUGAUGCGCCGAAGAGAAAUCGUGAAACGCACCACCUGGGAAGUACGGUCGCAAGGCUGAAACUUAAAGGAAUUGGCGGGGAGCACCACAACAGGUGGAGCCUGCGGUUUAAUUGGAUUCAACGCCGGACAUCUCACCGGAUAANACGGGAGCUGAAUGAUUGUCAAUCUGAAGGUUUUACAUGACUAGCUG